rnacentral:rRNA from 1 species
UACGGAGGGUGCGAGCGUUGUCCGGAAUCAUUGGGCGUAAAGAGCGCGCAGGCGGUCGUGCAAGUCGCGUGUGAAAGCCCCCGGCUCAACUGGGGAGGGUCACGCGAUACUGCUCGACUUGAAGGCAGGAGAGGGAAGUGGAAUUCCCGGUGUAGUGGUGAAAUGCGUAGAUAUCGGGAGGAACACCAGUGGCGAAGGCGACUUCCUGGCCUGUUCUUGACGCUGAGGCGCGAAAGCUAGGGUAGCAAACGGG